UACGGGUGGCAGCAGUGGGGAAUAUUGGACAAUGGGCGAAAGCCUGAUCCAGCCAUGCCGCGUGUGUGAAGAAGGCCUUCGGGUUGUAAAGCACUUUCAGUGGGGAAGAAAGCCUUGGGGCUAAUACCCUCGAGGAAGGACAUCACCCACAGAAGAAGCACCGGCUAACUCCGUGCCAGCAGCCGCGGUAAUACGGAGGGUGCGAGCGUUAAUCGGAAUUACUGGGCGUAAAGCGCGCGUAGGCGGUCUGAUAAGCCGGUUGUGAAAGCCCCGGGCUCAACCUGGGAACGGCAUCCGGAACUGUCAGGCUAGAGUGCAGGAGAGGAAGGUAGAAUUCCCGGUGUAGCGGUGAAAUGCGUAGAGAUCGGGAGGAAUACCAGUGGCGAAGGCGGCCUUCUGGACUGACACUGACGCUGAGGUGCGAAAGCGUGGGUAGCAAACAGGAUUAGAUACCCCAGUAGUC
rnacentral:rRNA from 1 species